UCUCUCCUCUCUCCUUUCUCUUGGACCCUUUGCUCUGGGGAAACCAGCUGCUACAUCACCAUCAGCCUUGUGACCAUGCCACAUGGUGUUCCACAGACAUCCUACAUGCAUGACAUUGAUUCACUCUUACAUUUGACAGGAUUGCAGGAGCUCCUCAGACAAGAUCUGUGGCAACAGUAACAAUAAAAGCAUCCCAUGCGGACCAAACUCCUGCUGCAGAACCUGGCCGUCCACUCCACCCACGUGCCUUAGCAAAGUGCCCUUGGUGAGGCUGAGGGACUAGGCAGCCAGGACUCCUGAGGGGACCUUAUCAGAGAGGGAAGCCACCUCGGACUGAGUGGUGAGUGCUGCUCUAGGACUGCCCUAAAACUGGAUUUGAACAAAAGACCACAUGCCGUAUGACUCCAUUGGAAUGAAACAUCCAGAACAGGCAAAGCCACAGAGGCAGGAAGCAGCAUCCCCCCAGGUCAGCAACACCUCUGGAGCUGAGGCUGGCAGAAUGUGGCGGGGGCUCCUCUGAGAGCAUGGCAGCUUCUAAUGGACCCACGUGGUUAGUUUGAGAGAAACAGUCACCAGAAGACAGCCAUAUGUGUCCGGGCUGGGAGACCUAACAUUUCAGAGCCACCAACCCUGCAUCACUGGCUGACAGGUGGCUGGACAUCGUGUCACCACUGUCUUCUGGGAAUAAACAUUUCUCAGCUUUCAAAAAAAAAAAA
rnacentral:lncRNA from 1 species